rnacentral:rRNA from 1 species
AAUGAACGCUGGCGGCGCGCCUAAUACAUGCAAGUCGAGCGAGAAGACGUAGCAAUACGUUUGUAAAGCGGCGAACGGGUGAAGAAUACAUGGGUAACCUACCCUCGAGUGGGGAAGUAACUAGCCGAAAGGUUAGCUAAUACCGCGUACGCUUCUUGGACUUCGGUUCAGGAGGAAAGCGAUACCGUGGGUAUCGCGCUCUUGGAUGGGCUCAUGUCCUAUCAGCUUGUUGGUGAGGUAACGGCUCACCAAGGCUUCGACGGGUAGCUGGUCUGAGAGGACGAUCAGCCACACUGGCACUGCGACACGGGCCAGACUCCUACGGGAGGCAGCAGUAAGGAAUAUUGCGCAAUGGGCGAAAGCCUGACGCAGCGACGCCGCGUGGGGGA